AACGAACGCUGGCGGCAGGCCUAACACAUGCAAGUCGAACGCCGUAGCAAUACGGAGUGGCAGACGGGUGAGUAACGCGUGGGAACAUACCCCUCGGUUCGGAAUAACUUAGGGAAACUUGAGCUAAUACCGGAUACGUCCGAGGUUUUAACCGGCCUCGGAGAAAGAUUUAUCGCCGGAGGAUUGGCCCGCGUCUGAUUAGCUUGUUGGUGAGGUAAUGGCUCACCAAGGCGACGAUCAGUAGCUGGUCUGAGAGGAUGAUCAGCCACAUUGGGACUGAGACACGGCCCAAACUCCUACGGGAGGCAGCAGUGGGGAAUAUUGGACAAUGGGCGAAAGCCUGAUCCAGCCAUGCCGCGUGAGUGAUGAAGGCCUUAGGGUUGUAAAGCUCUUUA
rnacentral:rRNA from 1 species